CUGAAUCACCUCCUAAGGGCAGUCAAGUUGUCCAGAGUCCUGCUAAUGACCUCAUUAUUUGACUCAGGUGUGUUGAAGUAGAGACACAGCUAAAAGUUGCAGGAGACCGGCCCUCGACGCCUGGAGAGGCCCACCCUUGCUCUAAAUCAGUGUUUCUCAAUUCCAGUCCUCAGGCCCCCCCUCCCCUGCAUGUUUUAGGUGUUUCCCUUCUGCCACACACCUGGAUUGAAUAUGUGGGUGAUUAACAGGCUUCUGCAGCACUUGAUGGUCAUGCAGUCGUUUGAAUCAGCUGCUCUGGAGUAGAGGUACAUCUAAAACAUGCAGAGCAGGGGGGCCUGAGGACUGGAAUUGAGAAGCGCUGCUCUGAAUGGACAGUGUUUCAAAUAUUUGCACCAUAAUAAACAACCAAGGAAAAUGAUCCAGAGUAAUGUCUGAAAAAACAAACAAACAAAAAAAAAAAACCUCUAAUCUCUAAAAAAUCUCUAAAUCACCCAAUGUGAAACUAGUUGCCUUUUAGAUCUUAAUAUCUGCUUGGAUUCUUUUCAGUGAAAUUCCUCUCGUGUUAGUUUCUCUAGAUCACAGGUGUCAAACUCCAGUCCUCGAGGGCAGCUGUCCUGCAGUUUUUAGAUGUGCCACAGGUACAAAAAAGAAUGAAAUGGCUUAAUUACCUCCUCCUGGUGUAGAUCAGUUCUCCAGAGCCUUGCUAAGGACCUAAUUAUUCUAUUCAGGUGUGGUGCAGCAGAGGCACAUCUAAAAGUUGCAGGACAGCGGCCCUCAAGGACUGAAGUUUGACAGCCCUGGUCUAGAUAGUGAAUCUUCAGCCGUAUUUUAAUUACACAUUUCAAAUUUACCAUAUUAUAUUAUAUUAUUUACCAUAUCAUAUGCUUACCAAAAGCCACACCCUCUUUCAUCUAGUCUUUUUUUUUUAAGAAUAAACAGCUUCCUCACACCAAAAGAAUCUGAGAUGGAAUGAGAUAAGUGAUGAUUCAUCAGUGAGGGAGAAGGAUGUCUGUUUCAGAUGCCAGUAUCCACUGCAGAUACUUUUUGGGAGGCAGUGUCCUUAGAAUCUGGUGGGAAGAAGAGAAACGUUGAAUAAAUCUGCAGCGACUUAUAAGACAGGUGGACUUCAGCAAUCAAGACUCACUUAUCCUUCAUGAAUCAAUAAGCACAUUCAGGUGAUGCUUCAGUCUUUUGCCAAACUAGUGGGAAUCCUGGACUCACGUAAAAAAGGGUAUACAUCCAGGUCAAAGAUGUUUCAGAUGUUCCCUUCAGCAGCAAAGGCAGAGAGAGUACAAACUGACUGAGGAGGAGCUGUAGUUGGGCAGGUUU